ACGAACUAAUAAUAUAAAUAUAAAAAAAAUACGAGUCAAGUCUAGAGUCAAAACGAGUCAACAAUUCAGUGUUUAUUUUUGUGUGUAAAUAUAAAAGUUUGUAAUCGAUAUUAUAAACUGGACUUUGUUUGUGUGUUAUACCUUGAGGGUGAUUGGGAAACACGGAGACGAUGAAAAUAACGAGGAAGGCUGGUCACGAUGAUCUUGAGGGAGACGAGAUGGCCAAACUUAAAACGGAGAUUGAGACGGAGAGAGAGAGAGAGAGGUGUGAGUGAAUAUAGAGAAUUCUGAAGAUCGGAGGGGGUGAGAUGCUGAUACCUCUAUUUAUGGAGAAGAAGUGGGACGUGAAAGGCCAGUGGAUGCCACGUCAUCAAAGUAAUGCUCAUUGAGAAAAUAACACGUGGCGAAACGUAUAAUACCAGCUGGCGACUGCUGAACGGAAUCGGGUCGUUGGAGGAAGAAAAGAAAGUGUCUUUUAAGUGGUUAAAAAAAAAAAAACAAAGUGUCUUUUAAAUUCUACUUUUUAUUUUUUCUUUUUGGGAUUGUUAUUAUGUUUCUUUCUUUCAUUUGGAAUAUAACUCACUUUACAAAA